GCGCAUGUGCUGUGAGCUCGAUGAGUAGGGCGGGACACGUGGUAUCCUGUCUGAAUAUGGGGGGACCAUCCUCCAAGGCUAAAUACUCCUGACUGACCGAUAGUGAACCAGUACCGUGAGGGAAAGGCGAAAAGAACCCCGGCGAGGGGAGUGAAAAAGAACCUGAAACCGUGUACGUACAAGCAGUGGGAGCACAGGUUUACCUGUGUGACUGCGUACCUUUUGUAUAAUGGGUCAGCGACUUAUAUUCUGUAGCAAGGUUAACCGUAUAGGGGAGCCGUAGGGAAACCGAGUCUUAACCGGGCGUUAAGUUGCAGGGUAUAGACCCGAAACCCGGUGAUCUAGCCAUGGGCAGGUUGAAGGUUGGGUAACACUAACUGGAGGACCGAACCGACUAAUGUUGAAAAAUUAGCGGAUGACCUGUGGCUGGGGGUGAAAGGCCAAUCAAACCGGGAGAUAGCUGGUUCUCCCCGAAAGCUAUUUAGGUAGCGCCUCGUGAAUUCAUCUCCGGGGGUAGAGCACUGUUUCGGCUAGGGGGCCAUCCCGGCUUACCAACCCGAUGCAAACUGCGAAUACCGGAGAAUGUUAUCACGGGAGACACACGGCGGGUGCUAACGUCCGUCGUGAAGAGGGAAACAACCCAGACCGCCAGCUAAGGUCCCAAAGUCAUGGUUAAGUGGGAAACGAUGUGGGAAGGCCCAGACAGCCAGGAUGUUGGCUUAGAAGCAGCCAUCAUUUAAAGAAAGCGUAAUAGCUCACUGGUCGAGUCGGCCUGCGCGGAAGAUGUAACGGGGCUAAACCAUGCACCGAAG
rnacentral:rRNA from 1 species